rnacentral:rRNA from 1 species
UAGGGAAUCUUCCGCAAUGGGCGAAAGCCUGACGGAGCAACGCCGCGUGAGUGAUGAAGGUCUUCGGAUCGUAAAACUCUGUUAUUAGGGAAGAACAAAUGUGUAAGUAACUAUGCACGUCUUGACGGUACCUAAUCAGAAAGCCACGGCUAACUACGUGCCAGCAGCCGCGGUAAUACGUAGGUGGCAAGCGUUAUCCGGAAGUAUUGGGCGUAAAGCGCGCGUAGGCGGUUUUUUAAGUCUGAUGUGAAAGCCCACGGCUCAACCGUGGAGGGUCAUUGGAAACUGGAAAACUUGAGUGCAGAAGAGGAAAGUGGAAUUCCAUGUGUAGCGGUGAAAUACACAGAAAUAUGGAGGAACACCAGUGGCGAAGGCGACUUUCUGGUCUGUAACUGACGCUGAUGUGCGAAAGCGUGGGGAUCAAGCAGG